rnacentral:rRNA from 1 species
CAGAUUGAACGCUGGCGGCAGGCCUAACACAUGCAAGUCGAGCGGAUGAGAGNGNNCUUGCUCNCNUGAUUYAGCGGCGGACGGGUGAGUAAUGCCUAGGAAUCUGCCUGGUAGUGGGGGAYAACGUUYCGAAAGGAACGCUAAUACCGCAUACGUCCUACGGGAGAAAGCAGGGGACCUUCGGGCCUUGCGCUAUCAGAUGAGCCUAGGUCGGAUUAGCUAGUUGGUGAGGUAAWGGCUCACCAAGGCGACGAUCCGUAACUGGUCUGAGAGGAUGAUCAGUCACACUGGAACUGAGACACGGUCCAGAC